rnacentral:rRNA from 1 species
UACGGAGGGGGCUAGCGUUGUUCGGAAUUACUGGGCGUAAAGCGCGCGUAGGCGGACCUGCAAGUCGGGGGUGAAAGCCCGAGGCUCAACCUCGGAACUGCCUUCGAUACUGCGGGUCUCGAGUCCGGGAGAGGGAUGUGGAAUUCCAGGUGUAGCGGUGAAAUGCGUAGAUAUCUGGAGGAACACCGGUGGCGAAGGCGGCAUCCUGGACCGGUAUUGACGCUGAUGCGCGAAAGCUAGGGUAGCAAACGGG